UGAGAAGCCUUCUGCCCUGGGGGAAUAGACAUCUAGGGAGUCAAGGGUAGACGCAGAAUGUUCAGAUGGGAAGGGACCUCAGAGACUUGAGGCCAAGCCCUCUCAUUUUACAGAGGAAGGAGCAGGCCCAGAGGGAGAGGGGGAAGGAGCAGUUCAAGGUCAUAGACUUAUUUAGUCACAAAGCCCGGACUAGGACUCAAGGUAUGUCCAGCAAGAGUGAGCUCUGUUCAUUCAGCCAGGACAAUGGAUGGAGGGAGCCCGAGCUGUUUCACAGGGAAGACUGGGGAGCCAGCAGCUCUUUGGCCUCGGACCCAAGCAAGCCCUAGUCGGAGGCAGAGCAAAUGGAGUUUCUGGGGAGGAGACAGUCAAUGAUCUUUGUUCCAAAGAGAGGUGGGGUUGAGGGGGAGAAAAAGCAACUUGAGAAAGGGGACACCUGGAAUGGAUCCCAGGAGUCUGAAACAGGUUCAGCAGAUCCCUGGAGGUCAGAGAUUGGAAGGACAGACUGUUUUCUUCCAGCCAGGGCUAAGACCCCUGCCAGACAUUCACCCAGCUGGUUCUCCUCCCACCUCCCAGCAGUCUUCGAAGAGAAAAGCUUGGGGCUGUUCCUCCUCUCCGUUUAGACAGAGAGCUCCCACUCUUUGGGGAAUCAUAGACUUGGGCCUGGAGGGGACCUCAAAAGCUAGAGGCGCAGAAAGGCUGCAGAAGGGCUCUCUUCUUUUGGCCCCGUCUCUUGUACAUGUGCUGGAGUCAGUGUCUGUUUUGGAUUGUGGCUUCUGGGAGAAGAGACUGAGGCUUCAGGAUUCUCUUUGUACUGAGUACCAUGGGCCAGCAUGGCAUUCUGCUGGCAUGGAUGGAGAUGCAGGCUCCUGGCGGUAACCCUGGGAGGUAGGACCCAGCAUGGGACCCAGGACGAAAGGGAGACUCUCCGGGAGACGAAGUGCCCAAGGCCGCCCAGACAGCCAAUGGCAGAUCUCCAGGCUACAAGUUGAGGGUUAGCGCAUCCUCCACCACCCCAAGGGCCAAGCAAAUGGCAUGCAAAUGAGAGCCUGCUGAAGGGAAGGGCCUGCCAGCUGCUCCACAGAUUGCUCCGGCUCCCGUGAUGGGGAUGUUGAAGGUCGUGGGAUUGGCAGCCCAUCAGUCAACAAGCCUGGAACUGAAGGCCUGUUGUUCAGCUUGUCCAAAUGCCCCAUUUUACAGAUGAAGAAACUAAGGUCCGGGGAGAUGGAGUCACUUUCCCCAAGGCACACAGGUGGUCAUCCCCAGAGGAUCGUGGCACCUCAGACCAAGAAGAGACCUGCUCGGCCAUCUGCUCCCUCCCACACCUGAACAAACAGCCAAUACACAGUAUCCGUGGCCUGUAGAAAGCUAGUUUUUGCUUCUCUCCUCCAGGUAGUAGGAGUCACUCACCUCCCCUUUUACUUCGGGAUAGGCUUCAUCACUGGGAAUUCCCCGCCCCCCCCAUGUUACAAUUAAAUUUACUUGUUGACACGACUGGGAAAUGCCAGUACAUGCCCUACCUUCUAAGCUCAGAAUUGAUCCCCCGAGUCCUCUUUCUCCUCCCUAAUCAGUCCUCCACAGAGGGGCCAAAUUGACGUUCCUACAGUUCAAGUCUGGUUGUGCCCUUCUCUUGCUCACAGAACUUCAGAGUCUCCUUCUGGAUUUAAGUACACUCUCUCCCGCCAUCUGAAUCUGAAUCCCUCCCCAGUCUGGCUCUAGGUGACCCGUCCAGGCUCAGCACACAUGUCUGCUCUGCACACACUGUGUUAGUGUUGGUGCCCAGUACUCCCCAUACAAUGCAUGACCUUCCACCCCCAUUUCUGGACCUUUACACAGCCUGUCCUCUGCACUCCAAAUACACUACCCUGCUUACUUUUGCCUCAGAAUCCAUGGACCCCUUCGAGGGUCAGCUGAGAUACCAACUUGUAAGAGGCCUCUUCUAGAAAAAGGGAAGCAAUUGAUAGGGGUGGGGGUGGAGGUUGGAUCAUUUCAUCAAAAGUCUCUGCAAAGUGUCUUCAAUCCAAGAUAUAAAGGGUACUCACAUAUGAGACCAAUAGUAAUGGAUAGCUGCUCAAAGGAUGUAAGCAAAUAGUUCUCACAAGAAGACUUGUAAAGUACUAAAAAUUGCUCGAAAUCACUAAUGAAAGGAGACAUAUAAACUGAAACAGUUCUAAGGUUUUAUCCCUGUUCAACAAAUUGGAGAUGAUGAAAAUGGGAAUCAUCAAUGUUGGUGGGGCUGUGGAAAACUAGGUGCACUGGUACAUUGUUGAUAGAGCUAUGAAUUGGUCCAAACAUUUUGGAAAGGAAUUUAGAAUUAUGCAAAUAAAGCGUGCCUACCCUUUGGACUCUAGAUUCUAGUGCUGGGCACAUACCCCAAGGAGGUCAUUAAUGAAAUGAAAAACCCCAGAGACACCAAAAUACUUGUAGCCAAACUUUUUGUGGUAGCAAAGAACUGGAAAUAAAAGUGCUCAUUGAUUGGGUAAUGGCUGAACAAAAAAGGCUGUUUUGGAGCCAGCUUGGCUCUCCAGGAGCCUCUUGUUAAAUUUUCAAUGUGAGCAAUCACAUCUGAGAAAUUGGCAAAGGCUACAUAUCAGGGUUUGAUCUAUUGUUUUAUUGAUUAUCUAGGCUUAAGUUAUGGCUAAAAUCUUAAUAAUGCAAAUUAGACUUAAAAGUGUGUGAAUUCUACCCCCACCCAUUCCCACUCCCCCAACCCCACCCAAAAGAGCCAGCUGUUAAAUAUUUACCAGGGAACUCCUGGGUACAUGCAUGUAAAGGAAUGUUACUGUGCUGUAAGAAAUUAUCAAUAUAAUGAAUUUGAAGAAGCAUAGAAAGACAUAUUGAGCUGAUACAGAAUGAAGUCAACAGAGGCAAGAAAAUGGUAUAUUAAAAAAUGACUGCAACAAAGAACCACAGAACGAUUGAAAGGGGAUGUUGUGAAAUGACGGCAUGCUGGCCCGGAAGGAGACAGAGGAGAAGAUGCUUGCCCUUGCCCCUUUGGAGACAGUCAGUUUGGCUGUUUUUUUUUCUUUUCCUCUUUAAAAGAAAAAAAAUUCUAUGUUGUAAGGAAUAAGUUAUCUGGAGGAGAGAGGACAGAGGGGAAAAUGUAGGCAAUGUAAAAAUAAAUGAUAACCUUAAAAGUCUAUUUUUCUAAUUUAAAAUAAUUAAA